rnacentral:rRNA from 1 species
AGCUUAGUUGGUAAGGUAACGGGCUUACCAAGGCGAUGAUGCAUAGCCCGAGUUGAGAGACUGAUCGGCCACAUUGGGGACUGAGACACGGGCCCAAACUCCUACGGGAGGCAGCAGUAGGGAAUCUUCCACAAUGGACGAAAGUCUGAUGGAGCAAACGCCGCGUGAGUGAAGAAGGUUUUCGGAUCGUAAAGCUCUGUUGUUGGUGAAGAAGGAUAGAGGUAGUAACUGGCCCUUUAUUUGACGGUAAUCAACCAGAAAGUCACGGGCUAACUACGUGCCAGCAGCCGCGGUAAAU